AAACUUAAAGGAAGUUGACGGGGGCCCGCACAAGCGGAGGAACAUUGUGGUUUAAUUCGAUGAUACGCGAGGAACCUUACCUGGGCUUAAAUGGGGAGUGACAGCUGGCGAAAGUUGGUUUUCUUCGGACACUCUUCAAGGUGCUGCAUGGUUGUCGUCAGCUCGUGCCGUGAGGUGUCGGGUUAAGUCCCAUAACGAGCGCAACCCUUACUGUUAGUUGCCAGCGGGUCAAGCCGGGAACUCUAACGGGACUGCCACCGUAAGGUGAGAGGAAGGUGGGGAUGACGUCAAAUCAGCACGGCCCUUAUGUCCAGGGCUACACACGUGUUACAAUGGUCGGUACAAAGGGCAGCUACACCGCGAGGUGAUGCUAAUCUCUAAAGCCGGUCUCAGUUCGGAUCGAAGUCUGCAACCCGACUUCGUGAAGUUGGAUUCGCUAGUAAUCGCGUUUCAACAGAACGCGGUGAAUACGUCCCUGCUCCUU
rnacentral:rRNA from 1 species